rnacentral:rRNA from 1 species
AGAGUGAACGCUGGCGGUAGGCCUAACACAUGCAAGUCGAACGGCAGCACAGGAGAGCUUGCUCUCUGGGUGGCGAGUGGCGGACGGGUGAGGAAUACAUCGGAAUCUACCUUUUCGUGGGGGAUAACGUAGGGAAACUUACGCUAAUACCGCAUAAGACCUUCGGGUGAAAGCCGGGGACCUUCGGGCCUGGCGCGGAUAGAUGAGCCGAUGUCGGAUUAGCUUGUUGGCGGGGUAAAAGCCCACCAAAGGCGACGAUCCGUAGCUGGUCUGAGAGGAUGAUCAGCCACACUGGAACUGAGACACGGUCCAGACUCCUACGGGAGGCAGCAGUGGGGAAUAUUGGACAAUGGGCGCAAGCCUGAUCCAGCCAUACGCGU